rnacentral:rRNA from 1 species
AUGGCAGACAACGGGCAGUUCGUGGUCACCAUUGGUCUGACGAACAUCAACACCACGAGGCAAGAUCCCAUCAAUGUCGUGUCCAGCAGAAAUUUGUCACCCUCUAGCCAUGUAUCCAGCUCCAGCAACAAUGAUGAUUUUGAGCUAUUGUGGAGACAUCGUAAAUAUUCGGUACUUCUUGGAGUCCUAGCAGUUGGUGUGACAUACAAUGCUGGAUUAACACCACCAGGGGCAUCGUGGACACUAAACAAGGAUGAUCAUCAUGCUGGUGACCCUGUCAUGCAUGAUGGCUUUUCUGAACGAUAUGAGGUGUUCUUUUACUGCAAUGCAGCAACCUUCGCUGCAUCUCUUGUCUUAAUCAUCUUGCUUCUCAGUAAGAGUGUGACAAGGAAGAGGAUGUGGCUCCACUCAAUGCAAUUAACCAUGAUAUUAGACCUAUUCAGCCUGCUGGGGGCUUAUGCUGCCGGAAGUUUCAGGGCACUCAAAUCAUCCAUUUACAUCUGGGUUCUAGUCCUUGCUGUUAUCAUAUAUGUUGGGAUCCAUACCCUAGUAUCCACAAGGUUUAUUCCAAGAAAAUUGAGACGGAAUCUGCAGAACAUGAUAAAUACAGUUCUAAUCAAACAGGGUUUCCUUGUGAGGCAAGUGAGCAUCCCUUUAGAGAACGUUGAGGAGGCUCGCAAGUUCAUUUUGAUGCUUGUAACUUUUGCUGCUACUAUCACAUACCAAGCAGGAUUGAAUCCACCGGGCGGCUUUUGGGCUGAAAAUGACCAUGGUUCUAAUAAGCUGCAUUUGGCCCUUCCUGUUUACAGUCAUCAUCCGGCUACUUCUGUUCUCCGGAGUAACUACCUUCGUCGUUACAAUAUAUUUAUCACUUCCAAUUCAACUUCCUUCGUGACAUCUUUGGUCAUAAUCAUACUACUUCUGAGCCCAAAAUUGAGUGGACAUGGAAUAAGGACCAAAGCAAUGAUUGUAUGUGUGGUAGUGGACCUAUUGUGCCUAAUUGUUGCAUAUGCUGCAGGAUGUUGUAGAGAGGUAGCAACAUCAUUCUAUGUGGUGUUUAUCAUCGUCAUAGUUUGGAUCUCCUUUGCAAUUUUAGCUGGAUUCUUUGUUACCAGGCCUGUAGCAAAUUGGCUAAAAAAUGUCAAAUCAAGCAGCCUGUGGUGUGUGAGAAAAUUGGGCCGUGCACUUUCAUUGAGCUUUCGUGGCCACAAAUCGAGCAAUGCAGAGCAGGACAAUUCUUACGCAAGCAAUCAUCAAUCUUCAGUCCGCUCAACCGAUGCACCUGCAGAAGAUAAUACUGCUGAACCACAACACCAGACUGCAGAGGAACUUCCAAAUAUCAGAGAGGAUGUCUCCUAUGAGGAGCAUGCACCUGCAGAAGAAAGAAAUCAUAUUUCAGAUGAUGAAGAGGCUGUGAAUAACUCACAACAUCUAUCAGGGAACAGCCAGCAAUCAGCAAAUAUCCAGGAUGUUGCGUCCAACACAGAGUGCCAGUCUCCAUUCCAGCAUGUUGCAGAAAUGGAUGAGGAUGUGUCCAGCUCACCACAUCCUGCUGGGAACUGUCAACGAUCAGAACAUGGCAUGGGUGUCGUGUCUAACAUGGAGUACGGGUCUACAGAAGGCAAGCAAGAUGCAAAUAUGGAGGCAGCUAAAUCUAGCACUGAGCAAGAGUAUGACCCAUUACUAAGCCACCAGCAAACUGAAAAUAGCAUGUGCGGUAUGUCAGCUAACCAGAAAGUUGCAAGUAUGGGGAAGCAAUCUUCACCUGAUGAUCCCGACAUAACUGCUCUUUCAGUUGAGCAAAAUAUGUCAGUCGGGCAGAGUAACGGAGACACUAGUCAUGGCAUAGUGGAUGAAGUGCUUUCUGCACCUGUGGAAACCACUCGCAAUGCGGACCGUGCUGAACAAAACAAUCUGGUUGGAGAUAAUAACCCUAGUGCUGAGAUUCUUGGCAGUGAUGACCAUCCUAUACAUUCUGAGAAUGUACAUACUGACAGCAAUCAAGUACCCAAUCAAAAUGCUGAUGACAUUUGA